rnacentral:rRNA from 1 species
AAAAAGAUAAAAAAAAAAAAAAAUUAUUAUAUAACGGGAAAAAAAAAAAAAAAGAGAGAGAAGAGGGAAAAAAAAAAAUGGUAAAAGAAGUUUUCGGGGGUUUUAAAAAGAAAGGGGCCUCUCCCCAAAGGAUAAAAGGGUUUCCCGGGGUAACCGGGUAAUACCCCCCCAAGAUUUAUUUGGGGGGGGUUUUGGCCCCUGGUUUUGGGUUUAUCCUUUCGGGGGGGGAAGGGGGUCCCAAGGGUAGGGUGUUCGCCAUUUAAAGUGGUACGCGAGCUGGGGUUUUAGAACGUCGUGAGACAGUUUCGGUCCCUAUCUGCCGUGGGCGUAGGGAGAAUUGGUUGGGGCUGCUCCUAGUACGAGAGGACCGGAGUGGACGCACCACUGGUGUUCCGGGUUGUGUCGCCCAGACGCAUUGCCGGGUAGCUAAGUGCGGAAGAGAUAAGUGCUGAAAGCAUCUAAGCACGAAACUUGCCAAGAGAUGAGUUCUCCCAGAUUAUAAAUCUGUAAGGGUUGUUUAAGACGAAGACGUAGAUAGGUCUGGUGUGUAAGUGAUGUGAGUCAUUGAGCUAACAGAUACUAAUUGCCCGAGAGGCUUAACU